CCAAGGCAGGCUGGCUGGGCAGGGGUGAAAGGGUUAUAGCUUGGGGCCAGCAUGCAGUUACACCCAAACACGGAGCUACAGCCCGUGUCCCCCACCCUGAGCACAGCAUGACGUUACGUAGCUGUUAACCCACUAACCCUUGGCCCCUUGACUCACUGGCCUACGCAAACAAUAGGCUGGCCCUGCGCAGUGGGGAAACGAUGCGGAUUGCUGCCCCGACAGGCGCCGCGAGCAUUAAUUACCUGUGGCUGACAAGGGAGGUCUUUAAGAUUGCUGUUGGGUCUGUGGCAGCGCCUCGGAUCGAGAGCUGGGGCCGACUUUGCAGGGCACGGUGUGCGUACGCCAGGUCAAGCAGCUCCCGGCCCAAAGCCGCCUGACAAAACAGCCCUUUGGCUCGGAUGCCUCCCUCCUUGCUGUUGCCAUCACCCGCUCUCCUCUGUGCACAGUCGGUGAUGUCAAGCAACAGAGAGUUCAGAGCGAGGGAGCCGCGGAGAGAACUCUUCCUUGGCUCCUGAUACGAGGCCGUGCAGCUCAGUCCCCUGAGAUACCUGCUCCCUCCACCCCACAGAGGAAACCUGAGGGAAGCUGCAAUUUGGCCCACCGCCAGAAGAUUUGGCCGCGACCGUGGCGCCCCUGGGUCAGCAGGGCGCAGGCAGAGCUUUGUCGUGCCCCGUGAGGAGGGAGCGUGCUCAGCCCCGGCGCGGCGGAGCUCCCGGUGCGAGAUCCGCUCUCCGAAAGCGCGGCCGUCCUCCCCGCCUGCCCCCGACACAGCAGUGCGCUCGCGGUGCGGCGCCGACAGCCAUGAGGCUCUGAAGGCGUUUGGGUGCUGAAGAUGCACUCCCUCUAAUGUCCAGCUGGAUCUUGCCCUGUGCUAAAGCGACUCCCCCGGACUGCAGCGAGAGCACGCCGUUCCCUCGACUGCCUGUGAGUCACCCGCCUGAAAUCACGCCUUAAUACCAUCGUCUUUCCAGUAAACCUACCAGUGAAGGCAGAUGUCGACUGGGAAACCGAACUCCAGGCGUGUGCGGUGUUUGCUGAUCGUCGCCAGUCUGUGCCCCUCACGUAGCAGCUGUGCCUCCAGCGGGGGAGGACGGGGGGGGCUCGGGGCAUCUGCCUUCAUUCUGCGCUGCUCCCACCCGCCUGUGCAGGGCGGGGGUCUCCUGGCAGGGCUGCAGCUCUCGGGCUCUUGUCACUGACCCACCUGUGGAGGACGAAGGUGGACGCGGCUGCCUUGCCUCCAAGCAGUGCUCCUGCAUCCCUUUGGGCUGCAGACUCGUCCCUCUGGGAAAUCUGGCCUGUCUGGCUGUAAGGAUCGAUCCCAAAUCGCUGAAGCUAAAAGAGGUGCAAGGAUUUAAUAUAUAGGGAAAAAACCCCACUCCCCGUUAAAUGCUUUCCUUUGACUGCGGGGUGAACAGGAUCACACAGAGCUUGAGGGCUCAAACCACAAGACAGCAAAAGGGGAGAUCACCAGUGGAUUGGCCACCUCUGGGGUAGCUGUUGUUACAAACGACUUGCUGGAACUGGCUGUGUCACGUUGCGUCAAGGCAAAGCAGUUCAUUUUUCCAGUGCUUUUAUUCUGUUUCUUUUCCAGUUGUUUUGAAACUACUGGAAAAGCGGUUCGAUGCCCCUGGAUUUUGGAAAAUAGUAUUCAUGCACACAGAUGCGGGAGUGCAUAAAGAAGGAACGCUAGAUACUUCUUUUAGUUGUAAGGAUGACUUCAUUUCUGGGGAGAACUGGAGGAUUAUAUGAUGGUUAGUUACAAAAUGCAUAGAAAUUGGUGUGGAACAGUGGGGAAGAUAAUUACGUCUUGCUCUUCUCCACCUUUUCAGCACCGUUUGCUUCAUGCCGAAAUGAAAGGAAAUGCUUUUUUCCCUUCACAAUAAUAUGAAAUAAUUUUCCAGAAACCAUCCUGGCCCAGAUCGCCUUAAGCAGAGUUAUAAAACCGCAUCUGGUUCAGCACACAAUUCACAAGAGAGGGCGGCCAAACUGUACCCUGAUGGCUGGAUGACAUGCCCUUCCUGUGGGGUCCUGCGGCAUGCAAACCCAAAAACUGUGGCCGGCCCCUAAUUUUACAACCCCGCUUCUUGGCCAUGCUCGAAAAUGUGACUUCUUGAAGUUUGCAGCUAAUGCUUCUCUCUGCCAUUAAGAUCUGAUUCCCGAGAAAGGUGGAGGAGGCAGCGGGUGCGGGGGACAGCCGGGGGCUGGUUACCUUCACCUGCAGGCAGCACAGCAGCAUUUCCCAGCUGCUGCUGAUAUUUUUACUCCCAUUUAAUUACUGCCCCAGUUAAUGAGGUUUAUAUCCUCUCCUUCCAUAGCUGUUUCAGAGGGCAUCUGAGGAGCAGGGUAGCAGGGGGCACCUCCACCCGCCGGCAGCGGAGGAAUGUCCUCUGCUGCCAAUGUCACACCUGAGGUGCAACAGCAGCAUCCUGCAUUGUGGGGACAGGAUAAUGUAUUCCUUCCACUUCCUAUUUUUUUUUUUCUUUCUAAACUCAGAACACAGGUGAAAGAGCAAGGGUGAGAGAUUGAAGAGAGACUAAGCCGCGGUAACAUGUAGCAAAGUGCCACGUGGAUCAGUGAAACAGAAAGGACUCUGAAACCAGAACAGUGUGGACGCAGUACAUUAGAAUACAGAAGAAAAGAGUAUUUUAUAUCUAUAGGAGAGGAGUCGAUACAGUAUUUCAGAAGAAAAUUGAGGUAAACCGAUGUAUUUUAGGAGCCACAAAAUUGAAAAGAUGAGAGCGCUAAUAUGUUAGCUGGGAAAUCAGCUGUGUAUCUGAGCCCGCAGCUGGGGAGGAGAUACGAACAGAGCACACAGCUCCCUGCAAGUGCUGCAGGGCUGCAAAGUUUCCCAUCCCCGUGUCCCCAUUCCUCCUGCCAGCGCUGGCUCAGGGGUUUCUUCACGUUGCCUGAACCUGAGCCAUCCCGCUUGCCCACGGCAAGGGGCUCUGCGGACCUGGCGGGUGGGAGCCUUUCCAUCCCUCCUGCCUGGCUGGAGCUGGGACGAAGCCGCAGGGACGAGGAUUUUCCAGCUGGGCUGGGGGUCACCCUGGGAGCUGGGCUGGUGGUUCCUGUCCAGCUGACAGGCUUCUGCAGAAAUAAUUAGCAUGUGGCAGCAUUGCCUCCUAAUCCUUUAAAUAUAACUUAAAAUUACAGCCUAAGGGCUCUGCCUUGCUUUCAGUGGGACUUUGCAGCUGCAGUCAUUAUUAUCCCGCCUAAGAGAACUCAGUUCCUUUUUUCACCCCUUUUGGGGCAUUUGGAGCACGGCCCGUGCCAGCGUCGUCUGCCCAGAAGCUGCCUCAAUUCCUCAGGAAUGAAGCUGACAGUUUUUCAAUGGCUGCUAACAGCCCGCAGAUAACGUAGGUUUGUUCCCUGUUGUUCUUCUUCGAGAGCAGGGCCCCUCAAAGAGCAGACUGAACUCUGUAUCAAGGAGUCAAAGGGUUAAAAUAAUAUUGCCCCAGUGUGUCAUUGCUGACUAAGGUCCUGGGCUUAACAAGACCCCAAAUUGUUCCUGUUCCACUGAUGUAAUUUGUUAUCCUGAAUUUCCCCCUAUUUUAUUAUUUCAGUGUUCCAGUCUCUCAAGUCAUAGCUUCAACAUGUAGUCUUCGGUCGCUCUCUCAAAACCUGGCAGAAAUAUGAGUCUGGAUGAUAAACUAGUUCUGAUCUUGUCUGUAUUUGACAUUGUUCACCUGGCGAGCUGGUUCCCUGCUGAUAGGGGUGCUGAGGCUGAUUCUGUCCCCACCCCAGGUGUCUCUGGCUCGUUCCUUGCUGUUUAGUCAUGUAAGUGGGAAGUGGUGGGAAAUGGUAGUGGUCCCCAAAGGGGGAUAAACACAGGGAAGAAUGACUUGUGCCUAUGUGGUGCGAUCCUCAAGCCGAUACAGAUCGUCAAUAAUCACUGCAAUUUUUACCUGAUUUCAAUCCAGUGUAAUUUAUUAGGACAAGACUCUUUCCUCCUGCGGAAACAAUUUAUAUCCAGUUAUUUCUUAGCUUUUUUCUGUAGUCUUAUAGCUGGCGCAUCUCAGUGUUAGGGUCCCAGUGCUGAGGUGGCUUCAUUGCUACCAGCAGACCAUCAGCAUAAAUGAGGACAGACAGUAUUUUACAAGUAUUUUGUACUAGCUGGCACCAAGCAAUGGAAAGCUGGAAAAAACAAAACCACAGACUAUAGAGCAGAAUGAAUAAAAACAAAAAAAUAAGCUAGGUCCUUUAUUUUUGGAAACUCUCCAACAACCUCUAAUAUGCAUUAGUGAAAUAUCAACUUUCUGCCUUGCAGAAUGAACUAUAAAAUAUUAUAUCUUUAGCCCUGCACAUUUUCAAGUUCCUUGUCCUUUAUUACAGCCACUGGUUUAUUAAAACUGGAAAUGGACCUAGACCAAACCUCUGCCUAUGUCUGAAUGGCAGCAUCCAAACCCUGCAGCUUUUGAAAACUGGUCUCUGAUGUUUAAAACAAAACCAAGCCCAACACAACAGCAAACCACUUCUCAUUUCUCCUCCCAUAGUUCCCUAACCUGAACAAAAAUCCUCGCACCUGGAUGUACAAAGGUAUUAGGUUCAUGGGGUAGCUCCUUGCCUACUAACGUUGAAGGCAAAACGCCCAGUGUGGUUAGCAGUGUCUGAGGAUUUAAACUCAAUCCCGCUUGAAACUCUUCCCAAGCAUAUAUGAUCAAUGAUGAGUUUGAAAGUGUAUUAUUUUUAUUUUUUUUAAGUCCAUUGAUGUGAUUUGUUCUGUUUGUAAGACUAACUGGCAGUAAAAGGUAUUAAUUUCCUAUCACUUUGUUCCAAAUUGUCCUUCCCUUGUCCUUGUGUUUUAUGGUCUCCAUUAAGGAAUGUUGUCCUCUGGAUCGUUUUUAUUGGCUUUGCUUUUUAAUAAUCAGCAUUCGUGCUUAAUACAGCAGUUUUUUGGUAACAAAAUUCAUAGCUUAAAAAAACCAAACCAGCCCCUCUUUCCCUUGGACAGAUUUGAAAUGCGAUUACUUUUAUAAGUUAUAAAUAAAGGCCUGGUAGUUGAUGUUUAGUGGGAAACUCUCCCAGUAUAUUUCAGAGCCCUGUUUUUCAGUCUCCUCCGAUAAGAAAACUGCUGACUUGACAUUUUGGGGAGCGGUGUUUUGUGCUUUGUGUUCCUGCUGUAGCUGCCAGGGGUUAGCAAACCUCCGGGCUGCAACGAGGCCAAACCAGGAGCUGCCUGUGCCGCUGCGCUCCCUGUUAACCGUAACGCCACACUGGUGGGUGCUGGGUUUUGCCCGCGAGCUGCUGGAUCAGGACGAGCUUUGGGCCAUCAGGUUGCUGUCCCCAGGGUCUUGCUCUUGGUGGCACCUCCAGCAAGACCUGGGAGGGGGUCUGUGGCAGCCCUUACCCCCACCUGAGCACCACUGCUCGUACCAGCCCACUGCAGUUUGCCCUCACCAAGAGGUUAGAGACGGUCAUCUGGGACAACACAUAAAGGUGGCUGCUUUUUAUGUUUACAACUCCCUCAGAGAGAGUUUGUUUAGAAAGAGGAACAUGUCUCCCCACUGUUUAUAUGUUGUCAUUUUUUUCCCAUGGUAAGACACUGGGUUAAGUCUCGGGCUUGGAGGAUGUAGCCCCGUCGCUCUGCAGGCUACUGAUGUGGCGGUAGUUUGGGGAGAAAUAGGAAUCUCUAGUGAUAAAUGAAUGGCUUCAACUAAAAACAGCUACUGACAGAUACGGCUGAAUUACUGCAUGGGUUUUGUAAAGCAAAGGGAAGGGUUUGCAGUGAUUAAAAUGGUACCUAUAAGCCUUGAAUUGCCA